rnacentral:sRNA from 1 species
AUAUCUCUCUGUACGGGAAGGAUGAGAAGCUUCGACUAAGGUUCGAUUCGAGCGUCAGCGAGAAAGCGUUGCCGCAGGCAACGACCCGAAGGGCGAAGCGCGCAGCUCUGAGUCAUCCUUCCCCCACCACCA